rnacentral:rRNA from 1 species
UACGAAGGGGGCUAGCGUUGCUCGGAAUCACUGGGCGUAAAGCGCGUGUAGGCGGUUAUCCAAGUCGGGUGUGAAAGCCUUGAGCUCAACUCAAGAAAUGCAUUCGGUACUGGGUGACUAGAGGACCGGAGAGGAUAGUGGAAUUCCCAGUGUAGUGGUGAAAUACGUAGAGAUUGGGAAGAACACCAGUGGCGAAGGCGGCUAUCUGGACGGUUUCUGACGCUAAGACGCGAAAGCGUGGGGAGCAAACAGG